GUGCCUACUAACGGAAGAGCUACUGUUUU
rnacentral:piRNA from 1 species